UGAGCGUGGCUAGGGAACCAGACAGCCUAGCACCCGCAAUGAGGAAGUGUGGGCCCCAACAAGCCAGAGACGCUCGCAUUUAUUUAGUAUAGAUUUAACGACAAAGGCCUGGAACAAAUAUAAUUUGUGGGUAAUUAACAUUGUUGACCCCCUGAGGUAGGGGGCAGUCGUGCACACAGAUGAUCAAAGCUUGGUUCCCAGAGAAAUAGGUAAACAAACCUAUCUAGACAAAUUCCUUUUCUUUUUCUUUUCUUUCUUUUCUUUUUUUUUUUGAGAUGCAGUUUUACUCUUGUUGCCCAGGCUGGAGUGCAAUGGUGUGAUCUUGCUCACUGUAAACUCCACCUCCCAGGUUCAAGAGAUUCUCCUGCCUCAGCCUCCUGAGUAGCUGGGAUUACAAGCAUGCACCACCACACCCAGCUCAUUUUUGCAUUUUAGUAGAGAUGGGCUUUCACCGUGUUGGCCAGGCUGGUCUCAAACUCCUGACCUCCUGAUCCACCCGCCUUGGCCUCCCAAACUGCUGGGAUUACAGGCAUAAACUACCACGCCUGACCCUCUAUAUAAAUUCCUUUGCACUCCCUUUUAAUCUGCCCUCUGCCAUUAGCUCAGGUAGGAUUCAGCUGCCUUCAGCCAUAUCCUUUCCGCAAGCUUUUGCAAAAUCUCCCAGCCUUCCAAGAAGAUUUGUGUCUUUCCUAUAAUUUUUCUCACCACCCUGACUGAUCUCCUACAACUGCACCUGACCCAAAAUACAGGUUUUAAAGAUAUUUUGAGGUGGCUAUUCAGAUGGCCUGCGAAUAGAAGUAUCCCUGCAAAGCUGUCUCUUUGAGGGGGAGAUUUGCACCUGUAGAGAAUGUACAUUGAUGCAGCCAGGUUUCUCUGAAGCUUUCCCUUGUCUAGACCUAGGAAAGAUGAACCUAGAGUCUGACCCCUUUGAAGGUCUGAAAAAACAUUACUGUCUAUCCUCUCUGAGGGUUUCUGUCUCAGAUUUCACCUAGGUGACGAGAUUGCCUUUGAUAGCCAGCCUUCUUCAUCUCCACACUGCCAUAACCUGUCUUGCCAAUGUGACUGGAUUUACCACCAUAACCUGCUUUUGGCCAUGCUCUGAGCCCCUACAAGGAUUUGGGGUAAUAACUCUGUGGUUGUUUCCCAUGUGCACAUUGAUAAAUUUGUAUGCCUUUUCUCCAAUUAACCUGCCUUUUGUCAGCUGAUUUUCCAGCAAACCCUCAGAGGGUGAAGGGGAAACAUCCCCUGAGCUUCUACACCUGCCACAGCUCCAGAAGCUCUAGAUAGACAGCCAGAGCGACUCAGUAAAGAAAGUGUUUGUACUGCCAUGAUGCUUCUCUGAAAUCACCUGCAACAAGGCACAGCCAGAGUAUGUCAUUGUCAGCCAAGAAAGACGGUCUUAGAGCCUUGUGGGAUAGGACUAUUCCAGGCACUGUACCUUGGUGGACAGCUUCUGAUGGCACUGCAUGAACAACUUUGAGGCCAUCCCAGUGGACUGAGUCAGUAUUUCUGGGACUUCAGUUCACAAAUGGGUUUAUGAUCUUGCCACCCCAGGACUGUGUGAAACAAGAAUUCAUUGCAUAGGACUAAAUAAACUGAUGGGUACCACUUGUUGGUUUUGAUUGGAA